GACGAACGCUGGCGGCGUGCUUAACACAUGCAAGUCGAACGGAAAGGCCCCUUUUUGGUUACUCGAGUGGCGGACGGGUGAGUAACACGUAAGUAACCUGCCCUUGACUUCGUGUUAACUACCGUAAACUGAGGCGAAUUCCUGAUAGGAAUCCUUUCUUCCUGGUGGGGGUUGGAAAGCUUCUGCGGUUUUGGGUGGAUUCGCGGCCUAUCAGCUUGUUGGUGGGGGAGUGGGUUACCAAGGCUUUGUCGGGUGGCCGGCCUGGGGGGGCGACCGGCCACCUUGGGAAUGAGAUAAGGCCCAGGCUCCCACGGGGGGGAGCAGGGGGGAAUAUUGCACAAUGGGGGGGAGCCUGAUGCAGCAAAGCCGGGUGCGGGAUGACGGGCUUCGGGUUGGAAACCGGUUUCAGCAGGGGCGAAGCUUGUGGUGACGGUACCUGCAGAAGAAGCACCGGCUAACUACGUG
rnacentral:rRNA from 1 species